GACGAACGCUGGCGGCGUGCCUAAUACAUGCAAGUAGAACGCACAGUUUAUACCGUAGCUUGCUACACCAUAGACUGUGAGUUGCGAACGGGUGAGUAACGCGUAGGUAACCUGCCUGGUAGCGGGGGAUAACUAUUGGAAACGAUCGCUAAUACCGCAUAAUAUUCAUUAUUGCAUGAUAAUUAAUUGAAAGGUGCAAUUGCACCACUACAAGAUGGACCUGCGUUGUAUUAGCUAGUAGGUGAGGUAACGGCUCACCUAGGCGACGAUACAUAGCCGACCUGGGAGGGGGAUCGGCCCCACUGGGACUGGGACACGGCCCAGACCCCUACGGGGGGCAGCAGGAGGGAAUCUUCGGCAAUGGACGAAAGUCUGACCGGGCAACGCCGCGUGAGUGAAGAAGGUUUUCGGAUCGUAAAGCUUUGUUGUAAGGGAAGAACGGGUGUGGGAGUGGAAAGUGCACACUGUGACGGUACCUUACCAGAAAGGGACGGCUAACUACGUG
rnacentral:rRNA from 1 species